UCCCCUUCGGGGGAUAAGUAGAGUGGCGCACGGGUGAGUAACACGUAGGUAAUCUACCUUCGGGUGGGGAAUAACCCAGGGAAACUUGGGCUAACACCGCAUAAUGCAGCGGCACCACAUGGUGACAGUUGUUAAAGCGGGGGAUCUUAGGACCUCGCGCCUGAAGAGGAGCCUGCGGCGGAUUAGCUAGUUGGUGAGGUAACGGCUCACCAAGGUAACGAUCCGUAGCCGGCCUGAGAGGGCGGUCGGCCACACUGACACUGACAUACGGGUCAGACUCCUACGGGAGGCAGCAGUCGGGAAUUUUGGGCAAUGGGCGAAAGCCUGACCCAGCAACGCCGCGUGAAGGAUGAAAUCCCUCGGGAUGUAAACUUCGCAAGAAUGGGAAGAAUUAGUAGGGGUCAAUACCCCCUAUGAUGACGGUACCAUUUGUAAGCUCCGGCUAACUCCGUGCCAGCAGCCGCGGUAAUACGGGGGGAGCAAGCGUUGUUCGGAUUUACUGGGCGUAAAGGGCGCGUAGGCGGUCAGCACAAGUCAGUUGUGAAAUCUCCGGGCUUAACCCGGAACGGUCAACUGAUACUGUGCGACUAGAGUGCGGAAGGGGCAACUGGAAUUCUCGGUGUAGCGGUGAAAUGCGUAGAUAUCGAGAGGAACACCUGCGGCGAAGGCGGGUUGCUGGGCCGACACUGACGCUGAUGCGCGAAAGCCAGGGGAGCGAACGGGAUUAGAUACCCCGGUAGUCCUGGCCUUAAACGAUGGAUGCUUGGUGUCUGGGGUUUUAUAGUCCCCGGGUGCCGCAGCUAACGCGUUAAGCAUCCCGCCUGGGG
rnacentral:rRNA from 1 species